rnacentral:sRNA from 1 species
AUAACAUUUAAACAUAUGCACAAAACUACUAUACUACAUUUGAUAAACAAAAUUAAUUUAUCAUGGUGGUCCUAUAUAUACUUAAUAACAUAACUAUAUAUUGUUACUCAGGGCCGGCCCAAUAAAUUAUUGGACCUUGUGUUAUGCUCCAAAUUUCUUUACCUAAAACUCUAAAUAUUUAAAAACUAGACCCUAUUUUAUAAUUAUUUGAAAAUUUGGACCCUAAAAUAUAAAGAAAAAACUGAAUAAAGAAGUGGGACCCGGUGCACUAGCACACUCAACACCUCCCAAGAGCCGGACCUGUUGUUACUAUAGGUU